rnacentral:lncRNA from 1 species
UGAAUAUUUCAAGAUUUCCUGGUACCUUGAACGUUAACUAAUAGAAUUCCUCUGGGUUUUGUUGCCCUAGUUCAGGUCCUUUGAAAACUAGUUUUAGGGGACCGGCCCGGUGGCACAGCGGUUAAGUUCACACGUUCUGCUUCUCUGUGGCCUGGGUUUCACCAGUUCGGAUCCCAGGUGCAGACAUGGCACCGCUUGGCAAAAGCCAUGCUGUGUGGCCACCCCAUCACCGUCACCGCCCUUGUGCACGCGGAAGCCUGUCUUACAGACUCUGAGGAUUAGGACCAGGGACCAGCCGUCUGCAUCUAUCAAGGUUAUGCAGUUUUUCUUAAAAGAGAUCAUUCUACUAGGAAUCUGACUUCAGACAUCCUCUUGUCCUGGAGUCAAGAGAACGAAUCAAGGAAGGAAAAGGGGCUGAAAGAGAACGAGAAGAGGAAAUGUGAGUGUGGCGAGCGGAAGAAGAAGAGCCAACGGCAGAUAAGCGCACUUCAAGGGAACCAGAAACCCCGAGGAGAGCGCUGGUGUGGCCGCUGGCGCACGCGGCCGUGCAGGGACAGAGAUGAUGGUUAAGGUCCUGCUGGCAGGUGAAGGCUGUCCCGACAACAUGCCCAGGAAGUGGAGACCCGGUCCGUGGACGGCCCUGAGUUUGCUAGGCUGAGCCCUCCACUGGCUCCGGAAUUUGGAGGAGAGGGCUGGAGGUGCUCACAGGGCCGCCACGUGCCUGACCCCAGGAGGUGCAGGUCACACCGUGUUCUUUGUGAAAGGUAUCCCUGCAGGGGCUCCACAUGCUCGUCUUGCAGGACCCAGUCCUGCCCUCCCGACCCUCUCAAGGUGAACAGGAGCACCUCAGCUAGUCCAAGUGAUGAGACAGUGUGGGGAGGCCUGACUGACCCCCCCCUCCAUACCUCCCCCCCGAAUUCAGGCCUCCUGGGACAAGCAUGAAGGGGACAGAGGCUCCAUCUCACACGGCAGGGGCAGGACCGCUUACUCGGCCCAGCUCUGCAUCCCUGCGGGCGCUUAGUAGUCCCCGCAUCAAGCAGGCCACCCUGCAGGGUCCAAACCCGGCUGGAGCUGCCCGACCCCUGGGGUCCCUCACGGCACCGGUUCUCAGGCUGAGGUUCUAGAGACUUUCCAUAGACACAAAAAAAUCAAACAGAACACCACAAUUUGAAGGAAAUUCAAUGCAAUGCUAACUUGUGAUAUGUUAAAGAAUGAAG